GUCGAGGAGGCGGCGUCCUUCGCUGUACUCAAUGACGCGCCGCCUUUAUUUUUAGGCAAUGAAUAUAUAUCAGAGGCUGAAAGCUAAAUAAAGAUGAGCAUUAGAGGGGUAGGCUCUGCUGGAGAAAAGUCGACUCAAAAAGAAGAGACUUCUAGUUGCCGCAGGCGAGAAGGUGAAUUGAAGGGAUUCUACUGCUGUAAGCUAGGAUCCGAAAGGGUUCGAAACAGGAUCUAAAACACCAAACGAAGCCAUUGAACAAGAAAUGAACGUUCGAAACAGGAUGCGAAACACGAAACGAAGCUUUUGAACUCGAGAUAAAGGUUCGAAACAGGAUCCGAAACGCCAGACGAAGCCCUUAAACCCGAAAUGAAUGUUCGAGGCAGCGCUCGGGCAUCCAUCGACGACGAGGGGGCACCUCUGCCAGGUCGAGUUGGGCAGGGCGCCCCGCAGCCUCCCGCCGCCCCUGCCGAGACCAUCACACUGGGGACAUAAAUAGAAUCCCGCAGACCCGAUUGAUUGGAUGCCAUUUGUUACGGCGUCGACGAGGCUGCCCGUGAUUUGUGGGCGGAGAGCGAGAGGUGCAGUGUGUGAGCCAGCGUGUCCCGCGGGCGUCGUGGGGGUAAGUGUGUGCGUGUGUGUAUGUAUGUGUGUGUGAGAGAGAGAGAGAAAGAGCAUGUGUUUGUGUGUGUGUGUGUGUGUCCAUUUGUGUUUGUAAGUUUGUUUGUGUGUGUGUGUUUUAUUGUUCAGGUGUGUUUACUUGGAUAUAAAUUGAACAGGGUGCGUUUGAAUACACGUUUAUUUUCAUUAGAAACGGGUUAUGAAGAUUAUGUAUGAUUGCUGGUGGUGGUUGUUAGAGGUAAAGUAUAUUUUGUUUAAA